GUAGGUGGCAAGCGUUGUCCGGAAUUAUUGGGCGUAAAGCGCGCGCAGGCGGUCCUUUAAGUCUGAUGUGAAAGCCCACGGCUCAACCGUGGAGGGUCAUUGGAAACUGGGGGACUUGAGUACAGAAGAGGAAAGCGGAAUUCCACGUGUAGCGGUGAAAUGCGUAGAGAUGUGGAGGAACACCAGUGGCGAAGGCGGCUUUCUGGUCUGUAACUGACGCUGAGGCGCGAAAGCGUGGGGAGCAAACAGGGAUUAGAUACCCCGGUAGUCCACGCCGUAAACGAUGAGUGCUAAGUGUUAGGGGGUUUCCCGCCCCCUUAGUGCUGCAGCUAACGCAUUAAGCACUCCGCCUGGGGAGUACGGCCCGCAAGGCUG
rnacentral:rRNA from 1 species